CCCUCACCCGUGUGUCUGCGUCUCAUUCCCUCCCCCUCCAUUCUUCUUCCAAUCUCAAGCCAAGCAUCCACCACUUUUCCUUCUUCUCAAGAGGAAAAUAGCAAGUUUUGGGGUUUAAAACAGUGAUAUCGUGUUGCUCUUCAUCUACACGGCUAUACCACUAUUUGGUCUUCCACUUGUGUUUUGAAAGGAGCUAAGAGCUUAAGGUAAUGAUGAAAAGGCUACGGAGCAAUGCAUUACUUCUGAGGGAGAGGCAAAAGCUUAGGAUCUUCCAUAACUAGAAUAGUUAUGUUUAUGGAUGACGGAUUAUGUUUUUAUGAACGUAUGGACUCUGAAAGUCUUUUAUGGAUGAAUGUUCGAAUAGAAUGUCCAUCAGGUAUUCCCUUUAUUAAAUUAGAAAUUUAGAGUACAUGUGUGUCA